UACGCAGGGGGCUAGCGUUGCUCGGACUUACUGGGCGUACAGCGCCCGUAGGCUGCUUUCUAAGUCGGUGGUGAAAUCCUGGAGCUCAACUCCAGAACUGCCUUCGAUACUGGAGAGCUCGAGUCCGGGAGAGGUGAGUGGAACUGCGAGUGUAGAGGUGAAAUUCGUAGAUAUUCGCAAGAACACCAGUGGCGAAGGCGGCUCACUGGCCCGGUACUGACGCUGAGGUGCGAAAGCGUGGGGAGCAAACAGG
rnacentral:rRNA from 1 species